rnacentral:rRNA from 1 species
GUGACCUCAAAUCAGGUAGGACUACCCGCUGAACUUAAGCAUAUCAAUAAGCGGAGGAAAAGAAACUAACAAGGAUUCCCCUAGUAACUGCGAGUGAAGCGGGAAAAGCUCAAAUUUAAAAUCUGUCAGUCUUUGGCUGUCCGAGUUGUAAUCUAGAGAAGUGUUAUCCGCGCUGGACCGUGUACAAGUCUCCUGGAAUGGAGCGUCAUAGAGGGUGAGAAUCCCGUCUUUGACACGGACUGCCAGGGCUUUGUGAUGCGCUCUCAAAGAGUCGAGUUGUUUGGGAAUGCAGCUCAAAAUGGGUGGUAAAUUCCAUCUAAAGCUAAAUAUUGGCGAGAGACCGAUAGCGAACAAGUACCGUGAGGGAAAGAUGAAAAGAACUUUGGAAAGAGAGUUAAACAGUACGUGAAAUUGCUGAAAGGGAAACGCUUGAAGUCAGUCGCGUUGUCCAGGGAUCAACCUUGCUUUUGCUUGGUGUACUUUCUGGUUGACGGGUCAGCAUCAAUUUUGACUGUUGGAAAAAGAUCAAGGGAAUGUGGCAUCUUUAGAUGUGUUAUAGCCCUUGGUUGCAUACAAUGGUUGGGAUUGAGGAACUCAGCACGCCGCAAGGCCGGGUAUAACCACGUACGUGC